AUUGAACGCUGGCGGCAUGCCUUACACAUGCAAGUCGAACGGUAACAGGUCUUCGGAUGCUGACGAGUGGCGAACGGGUGAGUAAUACAUCGGAACGUGCCUAGUAGUGGGGGAUAACUACUCGAAAGAGUGGCUAAUACCGCAUGAGAUCUACGGAUGAAAGCAGGGGAUCGCAAGACCUUGUGCUACUAGAGCGGCCGAUGGCAGAUUAGGUAGUUGGUGGGAUAAAAGCUUACCAAGCCGACGAUCUGUAGCUGGUCUGAGAGGACGAUCGGCCACACGGGGACGGGGACACGGCCCAGACUCCUACGGGAGGAAGCAGUGGGGAAUUGUGGACAAUGGGCGAAAGCCUGAUCCAGCAAUGCCGCGUGCAGGAUGAAGGCCUUCGGGUUGUAAACUGCUUUUGUACGGAACGAAAAGCCCUGGGUUAAUACCCUGGGGUCAUGACGGUACCGUAAGAAUAAGCACCGGCUAACUACGUGCCAGCAGCCGCCGUAACAC
rnacentral:rRNA from 1 species